UUGUUCGCAAUGGGCGCAAGCCUGACGACGCAACGCCGCGUGGAGGAUGAAGGUCUUCGGAUUGUAAACUCCUGUCGAACGGGACGAACACCUUUUCAGUUAACACCUGGAGAGGCUGACGGUACCGCCCGAAUAAGCCCCGGCUAACUCCGUGCCAGCAGCCGCGGUAAGACGGAGGGGGCAAGCGUUGUCCGGAAUCACUGGGCGUAAAGGGCGCGUAGGUGGCUGCGUGCGUCGGUGCUGAAAGCGCCGGGCUUAACCCGGCGAGGCGUGCCGAUACGACGCAACUCGAGGCAGGGAGAGGGUAGCGGAAUUCCGGGUGUAGUGGUGAAAUGCGUAGAGAUCCGGAGGAACGCCAGAGACGAAGGUGGCUACCUGGUCCUGACCUGACACUGAGGCGCGAAAGCGUGGGGAGCGAAC
rnacentral:rRNA from 1 species